UACGAAGGGGGCUAGCGUUGUUCGGAUUUACUGGGCGUAAAGCGCACGUAGGCGGGUCGUUAAGUCAGGGGUGAAAUCCCGGAGCUCAACUCCGGAACUGCCUUUGAUACUGGCGACCUUGAGGCUGGAAGAGGUUAGUGGAAUUCCCAGUGUAGAGGUGAAAUUCGUAGAUAUUGGGAAGAACACCAGUGGCGAAGGCGGCUAACUGGUCCAGAUCUGACGCUGAGGCGCGAAAGCGUGGGGAGCGAACAGG
rnacentral:rRNA from 1 species